rnacentral:rRNA from 1 species
AUGGCCGGAAGGAAGGGCGGCGACAGGAAGAAGGCGGUGACCAGGUCCGUGAAGGCCGGGCUCCAGUUCCCCGUCGGCCGCAUCGGGCGCUACCUCAAGAAGGGCCGCUACGCCCAGCGCGUCGGCUCCGGCGCCCCCGUCUACCUCGCCGCCGUCCUCGAGUACCUCGCCGCAGAGGUCCUGGAGCUCGCCGGCAACGCGGCCAAGGACAACAAGAAGACCCGCAUCAUCCCGCGCCACCUGCUGCUCGCCGUCCGCAACGACCAGGAGCUCGGCAGGCUGCUCGCCGGCGUCACCAUCGCCCACGGCGGCGUGAUCCCCAACAUCAACUCCGUGCUGCUCCCCAAGAAGUCCCCCGCCGCCGCCGAGAAGGAGGCCAAGUCGCCCAAGAAGAAGACCUCCACCAAGUCCCCCAAGAAGAAGGUCGCCGCCAAGGAGUAG